rnacentral:rRNA from 1 species
GAUGAACGCUGGCGGCGUGCUUAACACAUGCAAGUCGAACGGAAAGGCUCCUGCUUGCUGGGGUACUCGAGUGGCGAACGGGUGAGUAACACGUGGGUGAUCUGCCCUGCACUUCGGGAUAAGCCUGGGAAACUGGGUCUAAUACCGGAUAGGACGAUGGUUUGGAUGCCAUUGUGGAAAGUUUUUGCGGUGUGGGAUGGGCUCGCGGCUUAUCAGCUUGUUGGUGGGGUAGUGGCCUACCAAGGCGUCGACGGGUAGCCGGCCUGAGAGGGUGUACGGCCACAUUGGGACUGAGAUACGGCCCAGACUCCUACGGGAGGCAGCAGUGGGGAAUAUUGCACAAUGGGCGCAAGCCCGAUGCAGCGACGCCGCGUGGGGGAUGACGGCCUUCGGGUUGUAAACUGCUUUCGCUAGGGACGAAGCGCGAGUGACGGUACCUGGUGAAGAAGCACCGGCUAACUACGUG